rnacentral:rRNA from 1 species
UACGUAGGGGGCGAGCGUUGUCCGGAAUUAUUGGGCGUAAAGAGCGUGUAGGCGGUCAGGUAGGUCCGUUGUGAAAACUCGAGGCUCAACCUCGAGACGCCGAUGGAAACCAUCUGACUAGAGUCCGGAAGAGGAGAGUGGAAUUCCUGGUGUAGCGGUGAAAUGCGCAGAUAUCAGGAAGAACACCCGUGGCUAAGGCGGCUCUCUAGUACGGUACUGACGCUGAGACGCGAAAGCGUGGGGAGCGAACAGG